rnacentral:rRNA from 1 species
UACGGAGGAGGCAAGCGUUGUCCGGAAUUAUUGGGCGUAAAGCGUCCGUAGGUGGCGAUUCAAGUCUGCGGUCAAAGACUGGGGCUUAACCCUGGAAAGGCCGUGGAAACUGAAAAGCUAGAGUGCAGUAGGGGUAGAGGGAAUUCCCGGUGUAGCGGUGAAAUGCGUAGAGCUCGGGAAGAACAUCGGUGGCGAAGGCGCUCUGCUGGACUGCAACUGACACUCAGGGACGAAAGCUAGGGGAGCGAAUGGG